GUAGGUGGCAAGCGUUGUCCGGAAUUAUGGGCGUAAAGCGCGCGCAGGCGGUUCUUUAAGUCUGAUGUGAAAGCCCACGGGCUCAACCGUGGAGGGUCAUUGGAAACUGGAGAACUUGAGUACAGAAGAGGAAAGCGGAAUUCCACGUGUAGCGGUGAAAUGCGUAGAGAUGUGGAGGAACACCAGUGGCGAAGGCGGCUUUCUGGUCUGUAACUGACGCUGAGGCGCGAAAGCGUGGGGAGCAAACAGGAUUAGAUACCCUGGUAGUCCACGCCGUAAACGAUGAGUGCUAAGUGUUAGGGGGUUUCCGCCCCUUAGUGCUGCAGCUAACGCAUUAAGCACUCCGCCUGGGGAGUACGGCCGCAAGGCUG
rnacentral:rRNA from 1 species